AUUGAACGCUGGCGGCAGGCUUAACACACGCAAGUCGAGCGGAGAUGAGGUGCUUGCACCUUAUCUUAGCGGCGGACGGGUGAGUAAUGCUUAGGAAUCUGCCUAUUAGUGGGGGACAACAUUCCGAAAGGAAUGCUAAUACCGCAUACGUCCUACGGGAGAAAGCAGGGGAUCUUCGGACCUUGCGCUAGUAGAUGAGCCUAAGUCGGAUUAGCUAGUUGGUGGGGUAAGGGCCUACCAAGGCGACGAUCUGUAGGGGGUCUGAGAGGAUGAUCCGCCACACUGGGACUGAGACACGGCCCAGACUCCUACGGGAGGCAGCAGUGGGGAAUAUUGGACAAUGGGGGGAACCCUGAUCCAGCCAUGCCGCGUGUGUGAAGAAGGCCUUAUGGUUGUAAAGCACUUUAAGCGAGGAGGAGGCUACUGAGACUAAUACUCUUGGAUAGUGGACGUUACUCGCAGAAUAAGCACCGGCUAACUCUGUGCCAGCCGCCGCGGUAAAAC
rnacentral:rRNA from 1 species